UACGAAGGGGGCUAGCGUUGCUCGGAAUUACUGGGCGUAAAGGGUUCGUAGGUGGCUUGUUAAGUCAGAGGUGAAAUCCCUCAGCUUAACUGGGGAACUGCGUCUGAGACUGAUGAGCUCGAGUGCAGGAGAGGAACGCGGAAUUCCAGGUGUAGCGGUGAAAUGCGUAGAUAUCUGGAGGAACACCGGUGGCGAAGGCGGCGUUCUGGACUGCAACUGACACUGAGGAACGAAAGCCAGGGGAGCAAACGGG
rnacentral:rRNA from 1 species